GAAAACUCUGCCUUUUUGUGUGAACUGGCAAAGGCUAGGAGUACGUCAGAGGGGGAAUGAAUUUCGCGUGUAGCAGUGAAAUGCGUAGAUAUGCGGAGGAACACCAAAUGGCGAAGGCAAUCCCCUGGGCCCUGUACUGACGCUCAUGCACGAAAGCGUGGGGAGCAAACAGGAUUAGAUACCCCGGUAGUCCACGCCCUAAACGAUGUCAACUGGUUGUUGGACGGCUUGCUGUUCAGUAACGAAGCUAACGCGUGAAGUUGACCGCCUGGGGAGUACGGCCGCAAGGUUGAAACUCAAAGGAAUUGACGGGGACCCGCACAAGCGGUGGAUGAUGUGGUUUAAUUCGAUGCAACGCGAAAAACCUUACCUACCCUUGACAUGUCAAGAAUCUUGCAGAGAUGUGAGAGUGCUCGAAAGAGAACUUGAACACAGGUGCUGCAUGGCCGUCGUCAGCUCGUGUCGUGAGAUGUUGGGUUAAGUCCCGCAACGAGCGCAACCCUUGUCAUCAGUUGCUACGAAAGGGCACUCUGAUGAGACUGCCGGUGACAAACCGGAGGAAGGUGGGGAUGACGUCAGGUCCUCAUGGCCCUUAUGGGUAGGGCUACACACGUCAUACAAUGGCCGGUACAGAGGGCUGCCAACCCGCGAGGGGGAGCCAAUCCCAGAAAACCGGUCGUAGUCCGGAUCGCAGUCUGCAACUCGACUGCGUGAAGUCGGAAUCGCUAGUAAUCGCGGAUCAGCUUGCCGCGGUGAAUACGUUCCCGGGUCUUGUACACACCGCCCGUCACACCAUGGGAGCGGGUUCUGCCAGAAGUAGUUAGCCUAACCGCAAGGAGGGCGAUUACCACGGCAGGGUUCGUGACUGGGGUGAAGUCGUAACAAGGUAGCCGUAUCGGAAGGUGCGGCUGGAUCACCU
rnacentral:rRNA from 1 species